UACGUAGGGUGCAAGCGUUGUCCGGAAUUAUUGGGCGUAAAGAGCGUGUAGGCGGCCCGACAAGUCCGCUGUGAAAGUCCAGGGCUCAACCCUGGAAUGCCGGUGGAUACUGUCGGGCUAGAGUCCGGAAGGAGCGAGUGGAAUUCCCGGUGUAGCGGUGAAAUGCGCAGAUAUCGGGAAGAACACCCGUGGCGAAGGCGGCACUCUGGGACGGUACUGACGCUGAGACGCGAAAGCGUGGGGAGCGAACAGG
rnacentral:rRNA from 1 species